UACAUACUCCCUCCUUUCGGAAUUACUCGUCCAAGAAAUGAAUGUAUCUAGAUGUAUUUUAGUUGUAGAUACAUCCAUUUUUGUGACAAGUAAUUCCAAACGGAGGGAGUACUAC
rnacentral:pre_miRNA from 1 species